GUAUAAUUAACAUAAACAUGAAAAAGUCAUUCCGGAACUCCAUUUCUGCUGCCCGUCGAAAAUAUUUGCCCAAGUUUGUAAGCUAACGUUAAUAGUUCCAAAUAGAUGUUUUUUUGUCACUCAUCUCGAGAUAACGCUUCCGUCGUUUCGUUCUGAUAUACCUGUUGUUUUCAAACUGUUGAAUGAGUUUAUAGUUAACUGCUAGAAAAUUAUGAACAUUCAAACAUGAUUUUAGAAAACACACGCAAAACAGCUACCAAAAGGGUUAGCAAAGUCAUAUUUAAAUCAAACAUAUAUUUGCUGAUUAGUUACGCUACAGUAAAUCAUAAAUCCCCUAACCCGACAAGAUAGCUCAACCUAGUAAUACGUUAGUGUUGUUAGAGUGUUUAAUUCCACAUCGCUAAAAAUCUUGAACUGGGAUGUAUAAGGAAACGUAGUGAGUCUGUAACCAGGUAAUGUGCUUAAGGAAACGUAGUGAGUCUGUAACCAGGUAAUGUGUUUAAGGAAGUUCGAAAAGAACGUAAUUAUUGGAUGUAUAUAAGAAAUUGUUGAAAGUCCGUAAUUAGGUUUUGUGAAUAAGGAAAUGGGGAAUGUCUGUAAAUAGUUUUUACGUCUUAACAUUUUGUAAAGUGUAAAUCUGUAACUAGAUAAUGAAACAGAUCGUCUGUAACUAGAUAAUGAAACAGAUCGUCUGUAACUAGUAAUGUGUAAAUAAG